rnacentral:rRNA from 1 species
UCCGGAGUAAUUCGGGAUUGGGUCAGUGGCGAACGGGUGCGUAACACGUGAGUGAUCUGCCUGAAAGUGGGGGGUAGCUCGCCGAAAGGCGAAUUAAUACCGCAUAUGUCCCGAAGCAAUUCGGGGCAAAGCCGGGGCAACCUGGCGUUUUUAGAGGAGCUCGCGGCCUAUCAGCUUGUUGGUAAGGUAACGGCUUACCAAGGCUUCGACGGGUAGCUGGUCUGAGAGGACGACCAGCCACACUGGAACUGAGGCACGGUCCAGACACCUACGGGUGGCAGCAGUCGAGAAUUUUUCUCAAUGGGGGAUUUUUCUGAAGGAGCGACGCCGCGUGGAGGAUGAAGGCUUUCGGGUUGUAAACUCCUGUCAUUUGGGAACAAAGCCUUACGUUAACUGCGUGGAGGUUUGAUAGUACCGAAAGAGGAAGAGACGGCUAACUCUGUGCCAGCAGCCGCGGUAAUACAGAGGUCUCAAGCGUUGUUCGGAUUCAUUGGGCGUAAAGGGCGCGUAGGCUGCGGGGUAAGUCGGGUGUGAAAUCUCAGAGCUCAACUCUGAAACUGCACUCGAUACUGCUUUGCUAGAGGACUGGAGAGGAGAUUGGAAUUCACGGUGUAGCA